rnacentral:rRNA from 1 species
GACGAACGCUGGCGGCGUGCUUAACACAUGCAAGUCGAACGGAAAGGCCCUGCUUUUGUGGGGCGCUCGAGUGGCGAACGGGUGAGUAACACGUGAGUAACCUGCCCUUGUCUUUGGGAUAACUUCAGGAAAAUGGGGCUAAUACCGGAUAGGAUCUCUUGCUGCACGGUGGGGGUUGGAAAGUUUCGGCGGUUGGGGCUGGACUAGCUGCUUAUGCGCUUGUUGGGGGGGUAGUGGCUUACAAAGGCUUUGAAGGGUAGCCGGCCUGAGAGGGUGACCGGCGACAUUGCGACUGAGAGACGGACCAGACGCCUACGGGAGGCAGCAGUGGAGAAUAUUGCAGAAUGGGCGGAAGCCUGAUGCAGCGACGCCGCGUGCGGGAUGACGGCCUUCGGGUGGUAAACCGCUUUGGCCUGUAACGAAGCGUGAGUGACGGUAAUGGAUAAAGAAGCACCGGCUAACUACGUG